GCGGACGGCUCAGUAACACGUAGUCAACCUAACUCGUGGACGUGGAUAACCUCGGGAAACUGAGAAUAAACCACGAUAGAUCAUAGUGCCUGGAAUGGCUUAUGGUCCAAACAGUUUACUGCCAUGGGAUGGGACUGCGGCCUAUCAGCUUGUUGGUGAGGUAAUGGCCCACCAAGGCGAUUACAGGUACGGGCUCUGAGAGGAGAAGCCCGGAGAUGGGUACUGAGACACGGACCCAGGCCCUAUGGGGCGCAGCAGGCGAGAAACCUUAGCAAUGUGCGAAAGCACGACUGGGUCAGUCCGAGUGAUUCCUGAUAAAGGAGUCUUUUGCUUGUCCUAAAAGCACAGGUGAAUAAGGGGUGGGCAAGUCUGGUGUCAGCCGCCGCGGUAAUACCAGCACCUCGAGUGGUCAGGACGUUUAUUGGGCCUAAAGCAUCCGUAGCCGGCUUUGCAAGUCUUCGGUUAAAUCCACCUGCUCAACAGAUGGGCCGCUGGAGAUACUACAGAGCUAGGGAGUGGGAGAGGCAGACGGUAUUCAGUGGGUAGGGGUAAAAUCCUCUGAUCCAUUGAGGACCACCAGUGGCGAAGGCGGUCUGCCAGAACACGUUCGACGGUGAGGGAUGAAAGCUGGGGGAGCAAACCGGAUUAGAUACCCGGGUAGUCCCAGCUGUAAACGAUGCAAACUCGGUGAUGCAUUGGCUUAUGGCCA
rnacentral:rRNA from 1 species